GCGCUGGUGGUGUAGGGGUAAAGCGCGCAACCACAUGUAGAGGCUAUGGUCCUCGUGGUGGCCGUCCCGGGUUCGAGUCCCGGACCCGGCGACCU